rnacentral:rRNA from 1 species
CACACGACCGUACCGCAAACCGACACUGGUGCGCGAGAUGAGUAUUCUAAGGCGCUUGAGAGAACUCAGGAGAAGGAACUCGGCAAAUUGACACCGUAACUUCGGAAGAAGGUGUGCCUUUAGUAGGUGAACCUGUACAAGGGGAGCCCAAUGAGGUUGCAAAAAAUCGGUGGCUGCGACUGUUUAUUAAAAACACAGCACUCUGCAAACACGAAAGUGGACGUAUAGGGUGUGACGCCUGCCCGGUGCUGGAAGAUUAAAUGAUGGGGUGCAAGCUCUUGAUUGAAGUCCCAGUAAACGGCGGCCGUAACAAUAACGGUCCUAAGGUAGCGAAAUUCCUUGUCGGGUAAGUUCCGACCUGCACGAAUGGCGUAACGAUGGCCACACUGUCUCCUCCUGAGACUCAGCGAAGUUGAAAUGUUUGUGAUGAUGCAAUCUCCCCGCGGAAAGACGGAUAGACCCCAUGAACCUUUACUGUAGCUUUGUAUUGGACUUUGAACAGGUCUGUGUAGGAUAGGUGGGAGGCUUUGAAGCAGGGUCGCUAGAUCUUGUGGAGCCAACGUUGAAAUACCACCCUGGUGUGUUUGAGGUUCUAACCUAGGUCCAUUAUCUGGAUCGGGGACAGUGCAUGGUAGGCAGUUUGACUGGGGCGGUCUCCUCCCAAAGCGUAACGGAGGAGUUCGAAGGUACGCUAGUUACGGUCGGACAUCGUGACGAUAGUGCAAUGGCAUAAGCGUGCUUAACUGCGAGACUGACAAGUCGAGCAGAUGCGAAAGCAGGACAUAGUGAUCCGGUGGUUCUGUAUGGAAGGGCCAUCGCUCAACGGAUAAAAGGUACUCUGGGGAUAACAGGCUGAUACCACCCAAGAGUUCAUAUCGACGGCGGUGUUUGGCACCUCGAUGUCGGCUCAUCUCAUCCUGGGGCUGUAGCCGGUCCCAAGGGUAUGGCUGUUCGCCAUUUAAAGAGGUACGUGAGCUGGGUUUAAAACGUCGUGAGACAGUUUGGUCCCUAUCUUCCGUGGGCGCUGCAGAUUUGAGGAAGCCUGCUCCUAGUACGAGAGGACCGGAGUGGACGAACCUCUGGUGUACCGGUUGUCACGCCAGUGGCAUUGCCGGGUAGCUAAGUUAGGAAGAGAUAAACGCUGAAAGCAUCUAAGCGUGAAACUCGUUUCAAGAUGAGAUCUGCCGGGGCCUUGAGCCCCCUGAAGAGUCGUUCAAGACCAGGACGUUGAUAGGCAGGGUGUGGGAGCGCAGUAAUGCGUUAAGCUAACCUGUACUAAUUGCUCGU